ACGGGAGGCAGCAGUGGGGAAUAUUGCACAAUGGGCGCAAGCCUGAUGCAGCAACGCCGCGUGGAGGAAGACGGUUUUCGGAUUGUAAACUCCUGUUCUUAGUGAAGAAAAUGACGGUAGCUAAGGAGCAAGCCACGGCUAACUACGUGCCAGCAGCCGCGGUAAUACGUAGGUGGCAAGCGUUGUCCGGAAUUACUGGGUGUAAAGGGAGCGCAGGCGGGGGAGCAAGUCAGCUGUGAAAUCCAUGGGCUUACCCCAUGAACUGCAGUUGAAACUGUUCUUCUUGAGUGAAGUAGAGGUUGGCGGAAUUCCGAGUGUAGCGGUGAAAUGCGUAGAUAUUCGGAGGAACACCGGUGGCGAAGGCGGCCAACUGGGCUUUUACUGACGCUGAGGCUCGAAAGUGUGGGGAGCAAACAGGAUUAGAUACCCUGGUA
rnacentral:rRNA from 1 species